rnacentral:rRNA from 1 species
GAUGAACGCUGGCGGCGUGCCUAAUACAUGCAAGUCGAACGCUGGAAAUCUAGCUUGCUCGAUUGAAGGAGUGGCGAACGGGUGAGUAAUACAUAAGCAACCUACCCACGAAGACUGGGAUAAUCUCUGGAAACGGGGACUAAUACCGGAUAGGUAAUCGGAAGGCAUCUUCUGAUUAUUAAAGGUUAAAAACACUGGUGGAUGGGCUUAUGGCGCAUUAGUUAGUUGGUGAGGUAACGGCCCACCAAGACGAUGAUGCGUAGCCGGCCUGAGAGGGUGAACGGCCACAUUGGGACUGAGACACGGCCCAGACUCCUACGGGAGGCAGCAGUAGGGAAUUUUCGGCAAUGGGGGAAACCCUGACCGAGCAACGCCGCGUGAGUGAUGACGGCCUUCGGGGUGUAAAGCUCUGUUGUAAGGGAAGAACGGUAGAUAGAGAAUAUCUAAAUGACGGUACCUUACCAGAAAGCCACGGCUAACUACGUG